GUGUGUAUGUGCGGGCGAGAAGAUGGCGGCGGCGGGGGAAGCAGCGUGAGCAGCCGGAGGAUCGCGGAGUCCCAAUGAAACGGGCAGCCAUGGCCCUCCACAGCCCGCAGAUUUUGGUGGCCGGACGUUAGGAGUAUAGAGCUGAAGAGAGAAUUCCUGUGCUUUAGAGGUUCGCUGGGUAGUGAGGGAGAGAAGCAGGCUAAUGGCUGGGUGCAUCCAGUUUUAGGGUGGUAAUUCCUGUAACACAAGUGUGAACAACAUAGUCAAGAACAUUCAUUCAUUCGUUUGUUCAUUCAUUCAGCAAAUAGUUACCGAGUGGCUGCUGUGUACCAGGCACUGAGGAGGGAGUGAUGAGCGAAAACAGGCAUUGUUUCUCUCGCGGAGGAGUUUAUGGGUCCAUUGAGGAAGACAGCUUGCUAAUCAGAUAAUCACAGUUACGUACACGUCACUCCAAACUGAGAGAUGUUUCCCAAAGGAAGGGAACACAAUCUGAAGUCAGAGAACCGUUCCCGUGGAAGUGACGUGUUUACAGCAUGAGACAGUGGGGACAGCAUGUGUGGU
rnacentral:lncRNA from 10 species